rnacentral:ncRNA from 2 species
AUAAAUCUUCAGGGCAGGGUGUAAUUCCCUACCGGCGGUAAAGCCCGCGAGCCGUUAAGGCAGAUUCGGUUAGAUUCCGAAGCCGACAGUAAAGUCUGGAUGAAAGAAGGUUAAU